UAAACAAAAUAAAUGCGAAUUAAAAUUGUAGUUUGAAGUUGUUUGUUUUGAUUCGUUUAGGAUAUGAAAAUAAUUUGAAAUUUAAAAUAUUUAAGUAAGGAAAAGCACGUUGACCUCGGCUUCUAAACAAAUGAGUUCCAUAGCACAAUAAAAACUUAUUAACUUGUUAAAAUUUAAAACAGUGAUUGCAAGAAUCGUUUCCCGGCCUGUGGCUGCAUACCCGAAUGCAAUACUAGACAGAGUCUUAUUUGGCAGUAAGUGAAUGCGAUGCGGAUUUGUGUCAAGCAUUUUGAAGUAUUGGAAGCAUUAGAUCCACAAAAUCCCACAUCACGUAUAGAAACUCCGACGCCUCAUAAAGUAGCUGUGUUAAUUUUAGUGCAAGGCCAAAAAGGCAGCCAACGAUGCCGGCAUACCAUAUCCCGCCCAAUCGCGACACAAUAUUUGCAUGCUAACUAACAUUUUUAAUUAAUAGUAUUUCCAUGAUUUAUUUAAUCAGAUAAACAUUUGCUAAUGGCUCUAUCGGUUGUGUCCAGUCGUGGUAUAUUAGUUAAAGGGGGGUCAGACGGCAUGUAUUGCUUGUGUUUUGUGCCAUGUAUUGGGACAUUUUUCCAUAUGUAAACAUGUACAUACCGUGUGAUCCAUAUGAAACUUUGUGUAUGUAAAAUACAUGUGUAUUACUCGUGACAUUUUUUACAAUUAGAGCAUGUUCUAUUUUCGUGUGUAUAACAGUGUUGUAUUUUGAAAUACAACACUGUGUGAGUGCAAAAUAAAAAAACAAAACAAAAAAUAGUAAAGAAAAAUCAACAAAAUAAAUUUCAUUGCAUUAAAUAUAUGUAUUGUGAUUUAAAAAUGUUUUAAAUAAAUAUAUUGUUAAAAACAACAAACAUAUAAACUAAUAGAGGUUAUGUCACAUGCAAUUACAUAUGUACGUUUGAUCGUGGAAAUUAUGAAUCGUAUGUAUAACGUGAAUUUUGACAUACACAUGGAAUUCCAUAUGUAUCGAAUACAUGUCGCAAUACACAAGCAAUACAUGCCGUCUGACCCCCCUAUUAAGGAGAGUGCUCUGAAGAAUGUGGUGAAAUUAUAUUACAAGAUUAAGCUGUUCGACUUGGUAAAGUCUAUGGCAAGUACAUGAGCUCUUUACUGUUGAAUUUAAAUAAUGAUUUUGUUGUGGAUGCUACACGUAAAGGAAAUAAAAUACGUUUUGACAAUCAUUACAUCAAUCCCAACUGUUAUGCUAAAGUAAUGAAGAUCACUAUUCAACCGGGCUAGGAAUUGUAAUUUGACUACAGAUAUGGUCCCACAGAACAAUAAGAAUUUGUGAAAUGGUGAAAUGCAAAUUGUUUAAGUUUUUUUUUGGAAAUUUUAUUUUUAUUUCAUAUUUGAUUGUACGCUGAAUUUAGCUUAAAAAUAUUGAAUAAAACUUUACGAAAAUUAAAAA